rnacentral:lncRNA from 1 species
UGUCACAAUGAAACUGCUGUUCGAAAUUUUGUUACUAGGGCACCAUGACAGUGCAAUUUACCUGCUGGAUAAUUUCAAACUGCCUGAAUCCGACAUACUUCACUUCAUCAAUUUCACUCUUUGGUGGCACACAGUUGCUGAUUGGAAUCCUAAAAUGAAGUACAUAGCCGCCUUGACGGAGAACAUCUGCAGGAACGAAAAGGAGAAGAAUAACCUGUUGAUCAACCUUUUCCUGAUAUGUUUCACGUUGAUUCUGCCCCGAGCUCUCGGUAUCGGGAAGGUGUGAUGAACAGUGCGGUUUGAUCGGAUCUCCAAAAACUCAAAGUUCAUCAGAUAUGCAACUGGAAUCGCUGAAGCUUAUCCUUGAUAUAGCGGAGCGCUAUGGCCUGCCUAUUGAAAGGUGGAGAUUAUCGAAUCUUGGGUUCUCCAACAGAUUUACGCAUUUAGAAGAGGAGCAUUCACAGAGCAGUCUUAACAUGCUGAAUGGCUUGUUAAACAUGACAGAUAUUUGUAGAAUUCCCCUCGUUUUGAAGUUGCUGCCAUUAUUCAGAAAAAAAGGUUUGUGGGGUAUUUGUGCACCUGUAACUCAUCUAUUUUUAUUUAAAUUUCAUGAUUUCUCAACUCAGUCAACUGUCUCAGAACAUGGCGUCUGUAGGCAUCUUUUUAGCGCAUUUUCUCAUUUAUG